rnacentral:rRNA from 1 species
AGAGUUUGAUCCUGGCUCAGAUUGAACGCUGGCGGCAGGCUUAACACAUGCAAGUCGAGCGGGGGAAGGUAGCUUGCUACCGGACCUAGCGGCGGACGGGUGAGUAAUGCUUAGGAAUCUGCCUAUUAGUGGGGGACAACAUCUCGAAAGGGAUGCUAAUACCGCAUACGUCCUACGGGAGAAAGCAGGGGAUCUUCGGACCUUGCGCUAAUAGAUGAGCCUAAGUCGGAUUAGCUAGUUGGUGGGGUAAAGGCCUACCAAGGCGACGAUCUGUAGCGGGUCUGAGAGGAUGAUCCGCCACACUGGGACUGAGACACGGCCCAGACUCCUACGGGAGGCAGCAGUGGGGAAUAUUGGACAAUGGGGGGAACCCUGAUCCAGCCAUGCCGCGUGUGUGAAGAAGGCCUUAUGGUUGUAAAGCACUUUAAGCGAGGAGGAGGCUACUCUAGUUAAUACCUAGAGAUAGUGGACGU